AACAACGGGGUUGUCAAUCUUGAAAAGAGCAUUUUUGAUAAAUCUUCUUCUGUCAAUUUACGAUAAUCAAUACAUUUUUUUUGGGGAUUUCCAAAUCCAAAGUAGUCCUUGUCCUUGAAGCUUUCUUUGAACCAACCUUAGUGUAAUCUGAUUGUCCACCACUCAUUCUUUUUCUUGUUUAUCCAUAGGCAUCCGAACACAUUGCAACUGCAUAUUCAGAGCUCAGGAAUGGGACUUCAAACGCAAAGACUGGUGGAACUCUUCCAAUUACAGCAAGAACCUUAGAAACCAUAAUACGUCUCUCAACUGCUCAUGCUAAAUUGAAGGUUUCAAAGUGUGAUGUUGAAGCUGCCUUAAAAGUUAUAGAUUUCGCAAUAUAUCACAAAGAAUUGACCGAGAUGGAGGAAUGUGAAAAAGAAAGGCAGAGGGAAUUGGAUGGAAAUCAAAGAGCAGAGCAGCACCACGGAGGAAAUGACAGACGAGACUGUUAGCAUGAUUCUGGCAGUCAAUCAACAUGAUUCCAAUAAUCAUACAACAUGGUUUCAACUAUUAAUUAGCAUGAUUCUAACAAUCAAUCAACAUGAUUACAACCAUAAUUUUAGCCAUUAAUUAGCAUUAAUACUUUACAUAUGUCUUCAUUCUUAUAUAUAAACACCUGCUUGUACAAACUUUUAGUUAUGAAAUAAUAAACAAAAAAAUCAAUUUAUUUAUAUUUUAUUGCGGUAUCAGAGCCACCACUUGAGUUCUUGUCCUAUCAAAGAUGGGAGUGGCCAAUAUGCAACGUAAAACCCACAUUUAGCCCUCAUAUAUGAGCUUUUAGAUUUUUUUUUUUUAAAUUUUCUUGAAGUUUCUAGUUUUUUUAUUUAUUUUGCUGUGCAUAGUAUUCUAUCACUGUAACUUGCAUGAUUGAGCCCUUUGCCCUAAUCUCUCGCAUGAUUAAGCCUUUGCUCUCUUUCUCGCACAAUCGAACCCCCGCUCUCAUCUCUCACAUGAUCGAGCCCCUGCUCUCGUCUCUAGUACGAUCGAACACUUGCUCUCGUCUCUCGCAUGAUUGAGCCCCUACUCUUAUCUCUUAUUCCAAACUUAAGUUGGUCCCUACUCUACCACCUUCAGUUUGAGGGGGGUAUUAGAAUGAUUUCAACAAUCAAUCAACAUGACUCUAACAGUCAAUCA